AGUAGCAUAGUGGUUAGCGCACAGCCCAGGAUAAGUUGAGACGAGGGUUCAAAUCCCUCCU
rnacentral:tRNA from 1 species